CAGUCGCCACGGGAAUACGAAGGGGGCUAGCGUUGUUCGGAAUUACUGGGCGUAAAGCGCGUGUAGGCGGGUCCUUAAGUCAGGGGUGAAAUGCCAAGGCUCAACCUUGGAACUGCCUUUGAUACUGGGGAUCUUGAGUCCGGGAGAGGUGAGUGGAACUGCGAGUGUAGAGGUGAAAUUCGUAGAUGUUCGCAAGAACACCAGUGGCGAAGGCGGCUCACUGGCCCGGAACUGACGCUGAGACGCGAAAGCGUGGGGAGCAAACAGGAUUAGAUACCCCCGUAGUCCCUGUCUCUUAUAC
rnacentral:rRNA from 1 species